UAGAAUAGUCAAGCAGUUCCAAUGACGCGAAUAUGGAAUGGGGGACCUCGACAGAAUAUUGGCUCAUCAACUGAAUCAGUUUUGGCACGGGUUCUGAGGACAUCAUUAGCUUCUUCAAUCACAGCAGCAGCCACUAGAGUAUACUCACCAGGGACGAGAAAAUGCAACGAGAAAGAAUGCUUAGAUUCUUGAAGGGGGGGAACCUCCAUAGCUAUCCCAUUCAAAACACCAGCUCCAUAGGACAGUGGCCUUUGUCCCCUCGAAGCAAUUUUCUCCAGCCACAUCCCUGCAUGUAAUGC
rnacentral:misc_RNA from 1 species